rnacentral:rRNA from 1 species
UACGUAGGUGGCAAGCGUUGUCCGGAAUUAUUGGGCGUAAAGCGCGCGCAGGUGGUCCUUUAAGUCUGAUGUGAAAGCCCACGGCUCAACCGUGGAGGGUCAUUGGAAACUGGGGGACUUGAGUGCAGGAGAGAAGAGUGGAAUUCCACGUGUAGCGGUGAAAUGCGUAGAGAUGUGGAGGAACACCAGUGGCGAAGGCGACUCCUUGGCCUGUAACUGACACUGAGGCGCGAAAGCGUGGGGAGCAAACAGG